ACAUGCCUACAACAUAGUGUUAAUGCAUUGGAUCCCAUUAGAACUCCACAGUUAAGUGUGCUUGGGUUAGAGUAGUACAAGGAUGGUUGACCGCCCGGGAAGUCCUAGUGUUUUACAUGCC
rfam:Picea glauca, whole genome shotgun sequence.